rnacentral:rRNA from 1 species
AGAGUUUGAUCAUGGCUCAGAUUGAACGCUGGCGGCAGGCCUAACACAUGCAAGUCGAGCGGUAGCAGUCCUUCGGGAGCUGACGAGCGGCGGACGGGUGAGGAAUGCUUGGGAAUCUGCCCGAUAGAGGGGGAUAACUACGGGAAACUGUAGCUAAUACCGCGUGACCUCUUAGGAGCAAAGCGGGGGACCUUCGGGCCUCGCGCUAUCGGAUGAGCCCAAGUGGGAUUAGCUAGUUGGUGGGGUAAAGGCUCACCAAGGCGACGAUCUCUAACUGGUCUGAGAGGAUGAUCAGUCACACUGGAACUGAGACACGGUCCAGACUCCUACGGGAGGCAGCAGUGGGGAAUAUUGGACAAUGGGGGCAACCCUGAUCCAGCCAUGCCGCGUGGGUGAAGAAGGCCUUCGGGUUGUAAAGCCCUUUUGGCGGGGAGGAAGGGUGCGAGGUGAAUAAUCUUGCGCUUUGACGUUACCCGCAGAAUAAGCACCGGCAAACUCCGUGCCAGCAGCCGCGGUAAUACGGAGGGUGCGAGCGUUAAUCGGAAUUACUGGGCGUAAAGCGCAUGCAGGCGGUUUGUUAAGUCAGAUGUGAAAGCCCCGGGCUCAACCUGGGAACUGCAUUUGAAACUGGCAAACUGGAGUCCUGUAGAGGGGGGUAGAAUUC